rnacentral:SRP_RNA from 1 species
GCUGGGCAUGGUGGCGUGUGCCUGUAAUCCCAGCUACUUGGGAGGCUGAGGCAGGAGAAUCGCUUGAACCUGGGAGGCAGAGGUUGCAGUGAGCGGAGGUCACGCCACUGCACUCCAGCCUAGGCAACAGAGUGAGACUCUGUCUCAA